AUACGGAGGAUCCGAGCGUUAUCCGGAUUUAUUGGGUUUAAAGGGAGCGUAAGCGGACGCUUAAGUCAGUUGUGAAAGUUUGCGGCUCAACCGUAAAAUUGCAGUUGAUACUGGGUGUCUUGAGUACAGUAGAGGCAGGCGGGAUUUGUGGUGUGGCGGGGGAAUGCUUAGAUAUCACGAAGAACUCCGAUUGCGAAGGCAGCCUGCUGGACUGUAACUGACGCUGAUGCUCGAAAGUGUGGGUAUCAAACAGGAUUAGAUACCCUGGUAGUCCACACAGUAAACGAUGAAUACUCGCUGUUUGCGAUAUACAGUAAGCGGCCAAGCGAAAGCGUUAAGUAUUCCACCUGGGGAGUACGCCGGCAACGGUGAAACUCAAAGGAAUUGACGGGG
rnacentral:rRNA from 1 species